AUGGAAUACCAACCACUCAUCUCCGCCCUUGAUGUUCGCGUCGAGCCCAUUACUGUCGACCACCUCUUCUCUUUGGUCGCAAACUUUGAUCAACGCCUCGAGAUGUAUCAUGGCAACGGCGCUGGUGGCUUCAAGUCUUCAGCGAACGCUGCCUCCAGGGGUCGCCAGGGAGGCAACAGGGGCGGCUACCGAUCUUAG
rnacentral:rRNA from 1 species